UACCGCCUACGGGAGGCAGCAGUGAGGAAUAUUGGUCAAUGGUCGGGAGACUGAACCAGCCAAGCCGCGUGAGGGAUGAAGGUACAGAGUAUCGUAAACCUCUUUUGUCAGGGAACAAAGGCGGGGACGCGUCCCCGGAUGAGUGUACCUGAAGAAAAAGCAUCGGCUAACUCCGUGCCAGCAGCCGCGGUAAUACGGAGGAUGCAAACGUUAUCCGGAUUUAUUGGGUUUAAAGGGUGCGCAGGCGGUCUGUUAAGUCAGCGGUCAAAGCCCGGGGCUCAACCCCGGCCCGCCGUUGAAAAUGG
rnacentral:rRNA from 1 species